rnacentral:tRNA from 1 species
CAAGGAAUAGUUUAAUAAAAAUUUUAAUUUUGGAGAUUAGUGAUGGGAGUAUUCCUUUCCUUGA